rnacentral:rRNA from 1 species
CGAUGUAGCAAUACAUUGGUGGCGACCGGCGCACGGGUGAGUAACGCGUAUGCAACCUACCUAUCAGAGGGGAAUAACCCGGCGAAAGUCGGACUAAUACCGCAUAAAACAGGGGUUCCACAUGGAAAUAUUUGUUAAAGAAUUAUCGCUGAUAGAUGGGCAUGCGUUCCAUUAGAUAGUUGGUGAGGUAACGGCUCACCAAGUCCACGAUGGAUAGGGGUUCUGAGAGGAAGGUCCCCCACACUGGUACUGAGACACGGACCAGACUCCUACGGGAGGCAGCAGUGAGGAAUAUUGGUCAAUGGGCGAGAGCCUGAACCAGCCAAGUCGCGUGAAGGAUGAAGGAUCUAUGGUUUGUAAACUUCUUUUAUAUGGGAAUAAAGUGAGGAACGUGUUCCUUUUUGUAUGUACCAUAUGAAUAAGCAUCGGCUAACUCCGUGCCAGCAGCCGCGGUAAUACGGAGGAUGCGAGCGUUAUCCGGAUUUAUUGGGUUUAAAGGGUGCGUAGGUGGUUAAUUAAGUCAGCGGUGAAAGUUUGUGGCUCAACCAUAAAAUUGCCGUUGAAACUGGUUGACUUGAGUAUAUUUGAGGUAGGCGGAAUGCGUGGUGUAGCGGUGAAAUGCAUAGAUAUCACGCAGAACUCCGAUUGCGAAGGCAGCUUACUAAACUAUAACUGACACUGAAGCACGAAAGCGUGGGGAUCAAACAGGAUUAGAUACCCUGGUAGUCCACGCAGUAAACGAUGAUUACUAGCUGUUUGCGAUACACAGUAAGCGGCACAGCGAAAGCGUUAAGUAAUCCACCUGGGGAGUACGCCGGCAACGGUGAAACUCAAAGGAAUUGAC